rnacentral:lncRNA from 10 species
AAUGAAUGUUUUAAGACACACACAGGUGUCUCUGGGACAACCAAGAAAAGUGCAACAGGCAGAUGGAUUGAGGAGUCUGGCUAAAGAUAAGGAUUUAGGAACUGCUGAAUUAAAAUUACCCAAGCGUGAGAAGUGGUGUUGUGAUUAAGAGAGAAAAAAAAAAUGGAGGUCUGAGGAAUAACAUUUAAGGAAUAAAUGAAGAGGCCAAAAGGUGGGGGGUGGUUCAGGAGUGAGCAAAAUGUAAGAAGUCAAGGGAAUAAAUCUUUAAAGUAGGGGUUGUCAAAAAUGUCAAAUACAGAAAAAAAGUCAAGUACUAGCUUGUGAAUUAAACUGUGGAUUUAGAAUUAAGAUUUUAGACUUUACAGGAAGGGACUGUUAACCAGAGAGCCAAAUGGCAGAUUUUAGUUAAGGAGCCAGUAGAAGGUGACAAAGUAGAGGUAAGAAUAUUCCUUCAAAAAGAUUGGCAGCUAAAAAAAAAAGAGGCCGGGCGUGGUGGCUCACGCCUGUAAUCCCAGCACUUUGGGAGGUCGAGGUGGAAGAAUGGCGUGAACCUGGAAGGCAGAGCUUGCAGUGAGCUAAGA